CGCUCAUUGCCCGGCCAGUCAGGCUGUGUCCCGCCCCUUGCGGCCCCGGAGAGAUGGCGGAGUUGGACAUCGGGCAGCAUUGCCAGGUGGAGCACUGCCGGCGGCGAGAUUUUCUUCCGUUUGUGUGUGAUGAUUGUUCAGGAAUAUUUUGCCUUGAACACAGAAGCAGGGAGUCUCAUGGUUGUCCUGAGGUGACUGUAAUCAAUGAGAGACUGAAGACAGAUCAACAUACAUCUUACCCAUGCUCAUUCAAAGACUGUGCUGAGAGAGAACUUGUGGCAGUUAUAUGUCCUCAUUGUGAGAAGAAUUUUUGCCUGAGACACCGUCAUCAGUCAGAUCAUGAGUGUGAAAAACUGGAAAUCCCAAAGCCUCGAAUGGCUGCCACUCAGAAGCUUGUUAAAGACAUUAUUGAUUCCAAGACAGGAGAAACAGCAAGUAAACGACGGAAAGGUGCCAAAAAUAGUGAAACAGCUGCAAAGGUUGCAUUGAUGAAAUUAAAGAUGCAUGCUGAUGGUGAUAAGUCAUUACCACAGGGUGUCUCUUGUAAGCAGCAUAUAGCUGGACUUUGUUUUUUUAAAACCAGUUUGAUAGUAUCUCUCUUUUGUAGACAGAAAGAAUUUACUUUCAGGUUUUCUUACCUAAAGGGAGCAAAGAGAAGAGCAAACCAAUGUUCUUUUGCCACCGAUGGAGCAUUGGAAAGGCCAUAGACUUUGCCGCUUCUCUAGCCAGUCUUAAAAAUGACAAUAACAAAUUAACAGCUAAGAAAUUAAGGCUGUGUCACAUUGCUUCAGGGGAAGCCUUACCCUUGGAUCAUACUUUGGAAACCUGGAUUGCUAAGGAGGAUUGUCCUUUAUAUAAUGGUGGAAAUAUAAUCUUGGAAUAUCUUAAUGAUGAAGAACAAUUCUGUAAAAAUGUUGAAUCUUACUUGGAAUAGUCAUUCAGCAAUUCAAGUCAGAAAUCACAAGGAAAAUUCUAUUACAUGGUUAAGUCCAUUUCUUUUACUACAGAUACUGUUUUUGUAAUUUUUUAAAGUUGCUUUUUAACUUAUUUCCCCUUAUGUCACAUUUUAAAUUAUGAGUUUUCUAUUAGAAUUUUUUUGUUUUAAGUUUAACUGUGUACUGAUCCUCAGUUAUUAGCAAAUUCUUAUAUUUAAUUAGUUUUCAUUAGGUUAUGCUGUAGUGACAACAACAAAGGUGUAUUUCCUGGUGGGUGAUGUCAGCUGUUGAUUGGCUGUGGCACUGCUCUGUGUCAUCUUCUCACCAUGAUCAAAGGUGAAGGAAGGACUCUCUUUUGGGACACUGUCAUUGUUUUAGCAGAGAGAGAAAGAGAUUGAAAUACACUUCAGUUUUCUCUUAAAAGAUGCAUGUAUCAUACUUGCUUUAAGCAAGUCAUAUGGCCAAGCCUAGCAUCAUGGAGCCAGAAAGUAUAGCCUUGCUGUCUAUGUACGUCAUGAUGUAUAAAUUGAUAUAUAUACAUGAAUUAUAGAAACUUAGAGGUCAUCUUUAUUCAGUCUUAUAAUUUUUACAUGAAGAAUCUUAGACCUAGGAGAAGAAAAGAAUUUUCUUUCUAUUACCUAACUAGAUUGGGGCAUAUUUCUGAUAAAGACUCACCUCUAGUGAGAUUCAUCUUUUUUGUUUGUGUGACUAUAUUACAUAUGAGAAGAAAGAUGGGAUAGCUCAACUUCAUUAUAUACCAAAGCAAAACACAUGCCAAAUGGUGACUACAUUUUACCAACAAAUUUAGACGAGUAUUCUUGACUAGUGUUUACUAUCUAUACCCCCAAAACUACUACUAUAUAGACAGAAUAGAAAUUAUUUCUAGUUGUCCUUUUGUUUUUUUCUAUUCUAAUUGUCAUGGACAUAUGUAGUGGCUAUAGGUUUACUUAAAAGGAAUAAACUUGGAUUGCUCAUUUGGUUUAUUUCCUUUCUAAUUCUUCAUAUUUUUAUGUGAGGAAUGGAGAUAAUUUCCAACUUUUAUUAUGUUCUUAUACUUUCAUUCAUUAGCAUAGUUAUUUGAGUUCCCAUGAAAUGUAGAGAUUUGUCUCUAAUUGCCAUGAUUAAUACAAUGAAGAUGUGUAUACAUACAGGUAUACCUUGGAAAUAUUGUGGGUUCAGUUUCAGACUACCACACAAAGCAAAUAUUGCAGUAUAUUGAGCCAGACAAAUUUUUUUUGUUUCCCAAGGCAUAUAAAAAUUAAAUUAUGUCUACACUAUACUAUAGUCUGUUUAAUGUGCAAUAGCAUUAUGUCUAAAAAAAGUAUAUACCUUAAAUAAAAAAUGCUUUAUUG